rnacentral:lncRNA from 1 species
AUUAUUAAGUGACCAAAAAACAUACAUUACUGUGAUCUCCACUUUCAGAACCCUAGCCACUUGAAACCUUCCUCCCUUACAAUGUAGUUUCAAACAUACUUUUUAAGCCCUAUUAUCUAGUAAAUCAAUUUCUCAGCAGUCAUCUGCAUGUCAAUUUAAGUACAGAAUGACCGCAAUCAUGCGAAGAUUGAUGAAACUCUCCUAGCCCAAAACCAUAUUGAUCCACAAUCAUGAAGUGAGUUAAAAUAUUAAAAUUUGAAAAAUAGCUGUCCUCACUAGAUACAUGACCGAUGGCCACUUUCACCAAAUUAGGUGAAACUUAUGUACGACUAGUUUACCCAACAAUCUACUUCACAGUGCUAUCAAGUGAAUCAAUAUCAUUAAUACUAAGGGGGUGUUUAGUUGGGGGGAGUGGGAGUCUGGAAUCAGAAUCGGAAUGGGUGACUUCCAUUCCAACCGUUUGGUUAGGAAGAGUCCCAUUCCGAUUCCGAUUCCGGGAUGGAAUGAGAAUGACUCAAUCUAUAUAGAACUCAAUUCCUACUCUCCUCUAUGGAUUCAAUUUUUUAUUUCAAUUUCGAUUCCGAUUCCGAUCACGAACCAAAUGUUUUGGAGGAUUUGACCAUUCCGAUUCCUGAUCAUUCCAAUUCUUAUUCCCAUUUUAAUUCCGAUUGCGAACCAAACACCCCCUAAAAGAUUGAAGCCUAGUAGGGUAGAAGUCUCUAAGGCUGCCUUCUUUUCCAAAAUAAAAGCUCUUACAGUAUAUCUUAUAGAGGAAAACUAAGACAAAACCAAGGCACUCGUUGAAGAAAUUCAAGCUAGGAAAACAUACAUGUGGUGCAACUAAAUGAACUCUAUGCUUCAAGAGCACAGGCUCCUUAAAAUUUUAAGUUACAAAAAUCCUUUUAGGUUUAUCUUUAUUAUACUUUCACCCAAUAGUUUGAAACACCUA